UUGGAGGGCAAGUCUGGUGCCAGCAGCCGCGGUAAUUCCAGCUCCAAUAGCGUAUAUUAAAGUUGUUGCAGUUAAGAAGCUCGUAGUUGAAUUUCGGAACCGAUGGAUCGGUCACGCCAUUCGGUGCGUACUGGUUUAAUUGGUUCUCACCUUCUAAGGAACCGUGAUGUCAUUAAUUUGGUGUCGCGGGGAAUUAGGACUGUUACCUUGAAAAAAUUAGAGUGUUUAAAGCAAGCUCAUGCUUGAAUACAUUAGCAUGGAAUAAUGAAAUAGGACAUUGUAUUCUAUUUUGUUGGUUUCUAGGAUCGAUGUAAUGAUUAAUAGGGAUAGUUGGGGGCAUUAGUAUUCAAUUGUCAGAGGUGAAAUUCUUGGAUUUAUUGAAGACUAACUACUGCGAAAGCAUUUGCCAAGGAUGUUUUCAUUAAUCAAGAACGAAAGUUAGGGGAUCGAAGACGAUCAGAUACCGUCGUAGUCUUAACCAUAAACUAUGCCGACUAGGGAUCGGAUGAUGUUAAUUUUAUAAUGACUUAUUCGGCACCUUACGGGAAACCAAAGUGUUUGGGUUC
rnacentral:rRNA from 1 species